rnacentral:rRNA from 1 species
GCAAGUCGAACGGCAGCACGGGUGCUUGCACCUGGUGGCGAGUGGCGAACGGGUGAGUAAUACAUCGGAACAUGUCCUGUAGUGGGGGAUAGCCCGGCGAAAGCCGGAUUAAUACCGCAUACGAUCUACGGAUGAAAGCGGGGGACCUUCGGGCCUCGCGCUAUAGGGUUGGCCGAUGGCUGAUUAGCUAGUUGGUGGGGUAAAGGCCUACCAAGGCGACGAUCAGUAGCUGGUCUGAGAGGACGACCAGCCACACUGGGACUGAGACACGGCCCAGACUCCUACGGGAGGCAGCAGUGGGGAAUUUUGGACAAUGGGCGAAAGCCUGAUCCAGCAAUGCCGCGUGUGUGAAGAAGGCCUUCGGGUUGUAAAGCACUUUUGUCCGGAAAGAAAUCCUUGGUUCUAAUAUAGCCGGGGGAUGACGGUACCGGAAGAAUAAGCACCGGCUAACUACGUGCCAGCAGCCGCGGUAAUACGUAGGGUGCGAGCGUUAAUCGGAAUUACUGGGCGUAAAGCGUGCGCAGGCGGUUUGCUAAGACCGAUGUGAAAUCCCCGGGCUCAACCUGGGAACUGCAUUGGUGACUGGCAGGCUAGAGUAUGGCAGAGGGGGGUAGAAUUCCACGUGUAGCAGUGAAAUGCGUAGAGAUGUGGAGGAAUACCGA